rnacentral:rRNA from 1 species
AGUGAACGCUGGCGGUAGGCCUAACACAUGCAAGUCGAACGGCAGCACAGUGAGAGCUUGCUCUUACGGGUGGCGAGUGGCGGACGGGUGAGGAAUACAUCGGAAUCUACUUUUUCGUGGGGGAUAACGUAGGGAAACUUACGCUAAUACCGCAUACGACCUACGGGUGAAAGCAGGGGAUCUUCGGACCUUGCGCGAUUGAAUGAGCCGAUGUCGGAUUAGCUAGUUGGCGGGGUAAAGGCCCACCAAGGCGACGAUCCGUAGCUGGUCUGAGAGGAUGAUCAGCCACACUGGAACUGAGACACGGUCCAGACUCCUACGGGAGGCAGCAGUGGGGAAUAUUGGACAAUGGGCGCAAGCCUGAUCCAGCCAUACCGCGUGGGUGAAGAAGGCCUUCGGGUUGUAAAGCCCUUUUGUUGGGAAAGAAAAGCAGCAGGUUAAUACCCCGCUGUUCUGACGGUACCCAAAGAAUAAGCACCGGCUAACUUCGU